rnacentral:rRNA from 1 species
GACGAACGCUGGCGGCGCGCCUAACACAUGCAAGUCGAACGAGCGAGAGAGAGCUUGCUUUCUCGAGCGAGUGGCGAACGGGUGAGUAACGCGUGAGGAACCUGCCUCAAAGAGGGGGACAACAGUUGGAAACGACUGCUAAUACCGCAUAAGCCCACGACCCGGCAUCGGGUUGAGGGAAAAGGAGCAAUCCGCUUUGAGAUGGCCUCGCGUCCGAUUAGCUAGUUGGUGAGGUAACGGCUCACCAAGGCGACGAUCAGUAGCCGGUCUGAGAGGAUGAACGGCCACAUUGGGACUGAGAUACGGCCCAG